rnacentral:ncRNA from 2 species
AGCUCAUCCAGAGGGGUAGAGGGAACGGCCCGUUGAAGCCCCGGCAACCGGCGUCAGCCUGUCAUCUCGGAUUCGUGCGAGGUAGCUGACGACAUCGGUGCCAAUUCCGCCCCGCGUCAGCGGGAAAGAUGAGGA